rnacentral:tRNA from 1 species
UGCGUCUUAACUCAAUCGGUAGAGUAAUGCAUCAACGCGACCAUGCCAUUGCUGGUCGUGCUCGGUACCGCAUGAUGUUGAUGCCUAACGAGAGUGCUGGUUCGAGUCCAGCAGCCGCAG